rnacentral:tRNA from 1 species
GCUCCCGUAGCUCAACUGGAUAGAGCGUCUGACUACGGAUCAGAAGGUUGGGGGUUCAAAUCCCUCCGGGUGCACCA